rfam:Triticum urartu cultivar G1812 contig161695, whole genome shotgun sequence.
UUUGUACUCACUCCGUUCGGAAUUACUCGUCUAAGAAAUGAAUGUAUCUAGAUGUAUUUUAGUUAUAGAUACAUCCAUUUUUGUGACAAGUAAUUCCGAACGGAGGUAGUAGUAU